CACGUAGGGCGCAAGCGUUGUCCGGAAUUACUGGGCGUAAAGGGCUCGUAGGUGGCCAACUAAGUCGGACGUGAAAUCCCUCGGCUUAACCGGGGAACUGCGUCCGAUACUGGAAGGCUUGAAUCCGGGAGAGGGAUGCGGAAUUCCAGGUGUAGCGGUGAAAUGCGUAGAGAUGUGGAGGAACACCGAUGGCGAAGGCAGCCUCCUGGGCCUGUACUGACGCUCAUGCACGAAAAGCGUGGGGAGCAAACAGG
rnacentral:rRNA from 1 species